rnacentral:rRNA from 1 species
UUCCGGUUGAUCCUGCCGGACCCGACUGCUAUCGAAAUGGGACUAAGCCAUGUUAGUCGAACGUCUUUUAACUAUGUGAAGGGCGUGGCGUACGGCUCAGUAACACGUUGUCAAUCUACCCCUGAAGACGUGGAUAACCCCGGGAAACUGGGAUUAAACCACGAUAGAUCAAGAUUUCUGGAAUGGAUUUUGAUUCAAAGGAAGGAUGAGCAUGUUCAUCUAUUUGCCUCAGGAUGGGACUGCGACCGAUCAGGUUGUUGGUGGAGUAAUAGCCCACCAAGCCAGUAACCGGUACGGGCUUUGAGAGAAGGAGCCCGGAGAUGGACACUGAGAAAAGAGUCCAGGUCCUACGGGGCGCAGCAGGCGCGAAACCUUCGCAAUGCACGAAAGUGCGACGAGGUUAUUUCGAGUGCUAUCCGCUGAGGAUAGCUUUUGUCAGGUGUAAAUAGCCUGGAGAAUAAGGGGAGGGCAAGUCUGGUGUCAGCCGCCGCGGUAAUACCAGCUCCCCGAGUGGUCGGGACGAUUAUUGGGCCUAAAGCAUCCGUAGCCGGCUUUGCAGGUCUUCUGUUAAAUUUAACGGCUUAACCGUUGAGCUGCAGGAGAUACCACAAGGCUAGGAGGCGGGAGAGGUAGACGGUACUCCAUGGGUAGGGGUAAAAUCCUCUGAUCCAUGGAAGACCACCAGUGGCGAAGGCGGUCUACCAGAACGCGCUCGACGGUGAGGGAUGAAAGCUGGGGGAGCGAACCGGAUUAGAUACCCGGGUAGUCCCAGCCGUAAACGAUGCUAGCUAGGUGACGGAGUGGUUUCGUACCAUUCCGGUGCCGCAGGGAAGCCGUUAAGCUAGCCGCCUGGGGAGUACGGUCGCAAGACUGAAACUUAAAGGAAUUGGCGGGGGAGCAC